GCUUUCGUAGCCCAACCGGUAGAGGCAAUGCGCCAAGGACGCAUCCAGUCCGGGUUCGAAUCCCGGCGAAAGCA
rnacentral:tRNA from 5 species